UACGGAGGGUGCGAGCGUUGUCCGGAAUCAUUGGGCGUAAAGGGCGCGUAGGUGGCGGGACAAGCGUGCGGUGAAAGCCUGGGGCUCAACCCCGGGUCGGCCGUGCGAACUGUUUUGCUUGAGCACUGCAGAGGCAGGCGGAAUUCCGGGUGUAGCGGUGGAAUGCGUAGAGAUCCGGAAGAACACCGGUGGCGAAGGCGGCCUGCUGGGCAGUAGCUGACACUGAGGCGCGACAGCGUGGGGAGCAAACAGG
rnacentral:rRNA from 1 species